rnacentral:tRNA from 1 species
GCCGCUGUGGUGGAAUUGGUAGACACGUCGGAUUCAAAAUCCGAUUCCCGCAAGGGAGUAACGGUUCAAGUCCGUUCAGCGGUACCA